rnacentral:rRNA from 1 species
CAGGCUGCAACUCGCCUGUAUGAAGUCGGAAUUGCUAGUAAUCGCGGAUCAGCAUGCCGCGGUGAAUACGUUCCCGGGCCUUGUACACACCGCCCGUCACACCAUGAGAGCCGGGAACACCCGAAGUCCGUAGUCUAACCGUAAGGAGGACGCGGCCGAAGGUGGGUUUGGUAAUUGGGGUGAAGUCGUAACAAGGUACC